rnacentral:rRNA from 1 species
GACGAACGCUGGCGGCGUGCUUAACACGUGCAAGUCGAGCGGUAAGGCCCUUUCGGGGGUACGACGAGCGGCGAACGGGUGAGUAACACGUGGGUGACCUGCCCUCAGCUCUGGGAUAAGCCUGGGAAACCGGGUCUAAUACUGGAUAUGACUCCAUGACGCAUGUUGUGGGGUGGAAAGCCUUGUGCGGCUGAGGAUGGGCCCGCGGCCUAUCAGCUUGUUGGUGGGGUGAGGCCUACCAAGGCGACGACGGGUAGCCGGCCUGAGAGGGCGACCGGCCACACUGGGACUGAGACA